rnacentral:tRNA from 1 species
GGGGAUGUGGCGGAAUUGGUAGACGCACUGGAUUUAGGUUCCAGCGCCGCAAGGUGUGAGAGUUCGAGUCUCUCCGUCCCCA